CCGAAUAGGGUGACAGGAGUAGAUAAUGAUGCUCUAGGAGAUAUUCCUGAAGAACAAGAUAUGAAAAAGUUUGUUUUAAAUCUAAAUUGAGAUACUGUUUGUGGCCCUGAUGGCCUAUCAGGGAAAUAUUACCAAUGUUGCUUGGAAAUUAUGAAAACAGAUGUUAUCAGAUUGGUGGUGGAUUUCUUUGCAGGUAAUACCCUCUCUAAAUUUGUUACCCAUACAAAUUUGGUUCUCAUUCCUAAGAAGGAUAUAGUUUAAUUCUUUUUGGAUUUGAGACCAAUUAGUCUGAGUAAUUUUAUCAAUAAGAUUCUGUCCAGUACCUUUUAUGAUAGGUUGAUGGAUAUUUUGCACAGAAAAAUAUCUAAUAACUAGUAAGGUUUUGUUAAAGGUAGAAACAUUGUUGAAAAUGUGUUAUUGACACAAGAGGUGAUAACAUAUAUAGACAAAAGGGUAACUCCUCGAAUGUGGUUCUAAAAUUGGAUAUGGAUAAGGCUUAUGACAGAGUUUCUUGAUAUUUUUUAUGAAAGUUCUAAGGAAAAUGGGUUUCUCAAAUGGGGUGGUGGAUAUUAUUUGGAGGUUGAUUUCUAAUAACUACUACUCUGUUUUACUAAAUGGGCAAUCUGUAGGAUUUUUUCAUUCUAUCGGAGGAGGGGGGUGAAACAAGGAGAUCCUUUAUAGUUUACUCAUUUUAUCUUAUCUACUGAGGUGUUAACAGGGUAUCUUAAUCAUAUUUUUGAGGAUGAUUCUUUUAUAGGGUAUGGUAUGACUAAAUGGAGUCCAAAUCUCAAUCAUUUAGCAUAUGUUGGUGAUAGUAUUAUCUUUUCUUCUUUUAAUGAAUAUUUUCUUGAAAAGGUUAUGUUGAUUUUAUUGGAAUAUAAGGAAAAAUCUGAUCAGAAACUGAACAAGGAUAAGAGUUUUUUUCUAUGUGCAUCAUAACACAGCUAGGAGAGUAGUGCAACAGAUUGAACAAAUCACUGAAAUGGCAAAAGAAGCAUUUCCUCACAAAUACCUUAGUUGUCCUAUCUUAUAUUCAAAAAGGAAGAAAGACCAUUUUGCAGAUUUGGUGGAGAAAAUGAGAAAUAAAAUUCAAGCAUGGAAGGGUAGAAUUUUAUUUUAUGGAGGUAAAAAGCUGAAAAGUGUUCUACAAAGCAUUACUGUAUAUGUUUUAUUAGAAAUUAUUCCACCAAAGAGUAUGAUUAAAUUAUUGAAAAGAAUCUUUGCAAAAUUCUUUUGUCAUCAUAAGGAAUUAGGAAGAAGUAAACACUGGUCUGCUUGGGACAACAUUUGUUUACCCAAAGAUGAAGGGGGAUUAGAAUUUAGAUCCAUAGAAGCUAUUGUUCAAGCAAUGCAUGAUAAGUUGUGGUGGAGAUUUAGAACUCAAAAUUCCCUAUGGACCAAAUUUCUCUGAAAUAAAUACUUUAAAAAACAAAUUCCAACUUUGGUUCAAUAGAAAGGGGGAUCCUAGGUGUGAAAAGCUAUGGGAACAGUAUUUGUGGUAGGAACCAAAGAGUGGAAAUUCAUCUAUUUGGUUUGAAAACUGAUCCAAUUUGGGUCCACUUUAUUUGCACCAAUCUGAAACUCUCUUGUCAUGACAUAAGUGAAUUUCUAAUAGAGAAAGGAUGGGAGUAUGGGAAAUGAAAGAUACGGUCCCAAAGAAUGUGGUUAGUCAUGUUAGAGAUAAUUUGGAGGCACAGUUACAUAUGAUAAUGUCAUGGACAAACCUUGGUGGACUAAAAGCAGUAAAGUUCAUUUCACUACAAGAAGUGCAUGGGAAUUGUUUAGAUCUAAAGCUGCAAUGAAUAAAGAUCUAAAGAGUCUUUGGAGUAAAGGUUUAUCUUUGAAAUAUUCCGUUCUUGCUUAGAGAGUAUGGUUAAGAUUAAUCCUGACAGCUUACAUUAUGAAUAAAUAGAAUCCUGCAACAUCUGUAAAUAAUAGAUGCUACAUUAAUUUGGAAAGAGAAACUCUAGAAUACUUAUUCUUAAGAGGUGAAAUUAUUGAUUAAGUGUGGACACAGUAACGACUUGAAUUGAAGCAAAGUCUUAGACUAUGGAGGAAUCAGAAAGGAAAUAGUAGAUUAAAAGUUGUAUUUCAGGUGGUUGCUAUAUUAAUCUUGUGGUUUAUGUGGAAAAGAAGGAACACUAUUCUUCAUGGAGGAAAGUAUCAGGAAAUGAAAGUGUUCUGGGAAAUUGAUGCCACCGUAGCUAAAUAUAUUAAGUAUGGAUUUAAUAUAGAGAUGAAUGGAAAGAGAUGGACUGAGAUAAUUGAUGAAUUGCAAAAAUGCAAUAGUUCUUAUAUUAUCAAAAUUGUAGGGUGGAUAACCCCUGACAAAGUGUGGUUGAAAGGUAAUAUGAUGGGUCUUCAAAGGGUAAUCCAGGUCCUGGAAAGAGGAUUUUUUUUGGUGGCUAAAGGUACUGCUAUACAGGUCACAAAUAGCUUGGAUGCAGAGGCUAUUACCAUCAAGGAAUGUUUAUUGUUCUGCAAGGACAAUGAAAUUUUGAGAAUUGUUGUCGAUUCUGAUUCUUGGAUGAUGGUUUAGAUCCUUAAUAGAGUGUGGGAAACCCCAUGGAGUGUGACAAUGGUGGUCAACUCCAUUAGAAGCUAAUGAAUUCUAUAUCAAAAAGAUUUGUUCAUUCCUUUCGAGAAGGAAAUACUCUUUGCUGAUUAUUUUUCUAACUUAGCCGUUCAUUUUGCAGGUGGAUUCCAAUUUAAUAAUAUUGAAGAAGUACUAGGAACAGGCAAGAGAAUGACGGGAACUCCAAACAUACGAAGGAAUAUCCAGAAUAUAUGACAAUAACAGCACAAGCUACAUCAAUGCAUAAGGGUUACAUAGAUUCUACCAUACAGUAAGCUAAAGAGAAGAACAAAUUCAGUACAGCAAGCUAUUGUAUAGGGAGAUAUGUCAACACACAUGCAAGGAAUGAAAUAGGAUGAUCAAUAAUUUAAAAUUGGGGCUAGUAAAGAUUACAUAGUACCAGUAUUAGACAUAAAUCUAUAAAUCUGAAGAUCUGCACCUGGUGAGAGAUAGAGGUAUCGAAAGAUUAUGUAUUCAAAUGCUAGUUCAUUUUAAUCAAAAUGUAAGCUACGAUUUUGAGUUGGUGUAUCACUGUAGUACAAAUUUCAAAAGAAUUUCAUUAAUUUCUUUGGAUUUUCUUGGAUUAAUUGAUGGUAUUAUCUUCAAUAGAAGCUCAAUCCACUGAUUUGAGAUAAAAUUAAAGAAAGAAAUAAAAUUUAUCUAUCUAAUUGGAGGUAUAAAUAAGGCAGCAUGACAAUCUUCAGAACACUUUAGAAAUAUUUUGAUUGUUGAACCAAAUUCAAGAGGGCAAAGAAGUAUCAGCUCUAUUGCACCAUUGAAGCAACUCACGUAGGAGGAGAAGAUGAAUCGAUGGCAACUAGGUUUAGGAAAGCUCUAGAGACUUUUCUAUUUUCUAAUUGAUUUUUGAGUUACCUGAUUCUUUUUGGAUC
rnacentral:lncRNA from 1 species